rnacentral:lncRNA from 9 species
CAAGGGUGCCAGGCAGCUGCGAGAAGAAAGAACAUUCUAAGCAUGGUCGUGUCGCAGUUGCCAUGGCGAACACGGGGAAAGAGGAACAAUUCAAUCCAGUGGUCCCGGCACCGGACAUGAAACCCCACCAUUCAGGCUUAGAGCCCGGCCCAUCCUCGACAGUGCCCCCUUCUGCUGCCCCGCCAGCCGUGCCCCCCCGCCCCUGUUCUGGGCGGUCUCCCUGAGCCCUGGGUCAUCGGGUGUCACCAGCCCUACCUGGGACCCGGCGGCCGUCACCUGUUCCCAAGCAGCUCUGUCAGCGAAGGGCCCAGGCCCCUGCUGGGUGUCCCUGUGCCCCGGGGCCCAUGGAGCCCCUGGUACACGGCCCUCGGAGUCUGAGCGACUGGCUCCAAGCCUCACACUCCGCCCCUGGGAGCUGUGUGACUUCGAAAGCUGCUCAGCAUCUCUGGGCUUCUUUCCUUUCCCUGUGAAAUGGAGACGCACCUGCCCUGGGGUUGGGGGCAGAAUCGCUCGGGAAGAACAGAAAACGCGCCUUUGAUAGUGAACCCAUGCCCUGCGGCCUGGCGACAGCGCCCUCCAAGGACCACGGUUUGAGAUGAACCGAGACAGCGUGUGCAGGGCUGGGAGCUGCUAUUAGUGGUGGUCCUGUCGCCCCGACAGACAGCCGCUGCCCUCCAGCACGGGGCCAGGACACACGCAGACCUCCGCACAGACGCCCUCUGUGCUCCAGCCGCCGCCCGGCCGCCUCCCAGGUUGGCCCACCCGGCGGCCGCUGCGGCUGCCCGCACGCCACCUCCGCCCGCGGGCUCGGGGCCACACACAGCCCGGGCUCCCCCCCCAACCCCGCCCCCGACACUCCCACAGGAGGCCAGGUGCGCCUGGCGGCUGGGGGGCCCUGCCUGCCCCCCGCAUCUCUUCUUUCCGACACGGCGGCUGCAUCCAGCCAGAGUAGAGGCGGCGGCUCGGCUCCCAGCAGCUCCCACAUGAAUCACCCCCCGCGGCAGCAGCUCACGGCACACGGACCACGUCCCCCGCCGCCCUCCUGGCCCCACCUUUCCGCCCCCGCCUCUCCCCUGGGCCGGCCUUCCCAGCUCGAUCAGCUGCUCCCCGGCAAGGCUGUCUUCCAGCAACAUUGAUUUCCCUCCGUCAUGCAGAUGGAAGAGAAAUGAAGUCACACACGUCUCUUCGGGGUGAUGGAGCUGUCAGAGCCGGAGGCGGUGGGCAGGCGCCGUCUUCUCUGUCAUGUCAUCCGUGUGUCGCCUUGCGACCUCGGAGAGUCAUUUAGCCUUUCUUGGCCGCCCGCCCCUCCUCCCACCCCCACCGACUAGAAAAGGAGACCCCCGUGCCCCUGGGCCUGAGGGAUGGAGGCGCUAUUCACCGGCCACAGGAGAAGUUCAGAAGAAACCUUCCGUAAAAAAAAGCCAAGGUCAAGGCUGUGUCAACACCAAACACCAUGAAGGGCAAUUAUCCAAUUAGCUUGAUUCGUGUAGACAGAACCGCCAAUGUCUGCUCAACACACCCACUUCCGCCGUCGCCCGAGCUUAGGCAGCUGCGGCGGCAGAGAGGAUCUGUUGGAAACGAGAGCCUGGGCCCCCGCCCUGGUGUCCCCAACUCUAAUUUGGAGGUGACAGAGCCUCCAGGUUUGUGCUGAGACUUUGUGGGCUGACCUCGGCCAGCGCUCUGGGGGGGGACGAGGAGCGUGGGGGGCGGGGGCAAGACCAACCUGCAUCUGGGGACCGUCACUCUUUUCUUUGGUGACGCCGAGGGCUUGCUACCUGUGCCUCCCUUGGGCGAGCUGCUCUGUGUCUGUGUUUCUUCACCUGUGCUCAAGGGGCGUCGAAUGGCCUUGGCCUCACACGGGGAGGCACGGGCCCAGGUGGCUGGUCACCACACCACGAGCAAGAUGAUGGCGGCGGUGCGGGUGACGGUGUGUCGAUGGCAGUGAUGGAGGUAGGGGUGGUGGCGGUCGUGGCGACAGUAAGGAAGGCGAGGGUGGUGGUGAUGAGGGUAUAGAAGGUGGUAGGGGUGGUGGCGGUGGCGCUGAUGGCAACCACGGCAGGGAAGGUGGCGGCGCUGAUGGUGGUGGCAGUGCUCGUGCUGCAGUAAAGAUGGCGGUGUUGGUGAUGGGCUGGUGGAAGAUGCUGGUGGUGGUCACGAUGAUGGCGACGAUGAUGCCAGGAUGGAGGUGACCAAACACCCUGCUCGUGGGCUCCCUGUACACCAACCAAGGAAACAGCCUGCCAGAGAGCCCUUCCCAAGUGAUCUCUCCCCACUGAGAGCUGGAGUCAAAUCCUUUCUCCUUGAAUCUGGGUUGGCCCUACAGCUUGCUGAGCCGAUAGAAUGCCGUGGAAAUGGUGCCAAGUCUCGGUCAGAUGAAGCCUUCCAGCCUGCCCGCCUCCAUGCCGGAGAGGCCAUGUGGAGGCCAUCUGGGUGACAGUCCCAGCUAAGCCCUUCUGGCCAUGCAGCAAAGAAGCAGACCAGCCUGGCUGUCUACCACAUACCACCAAGUGAACCCAGCCAGUGCCACGUGGAGCAGAAGGGUUGCCCAUUGGACCCCACUGGAAUUCCUGACUCAAUCUUGAGCUACUAAAUUUGGGGGCAGUACGUCAUGCAGCAACAGCCAUGCGUCCAGCCAUGGACCUGGAUGGCUGGUUCUCAGCCACUUCCUGGGCAGACAUGCAUCCACCGUGGCUGCUUGGUUCAGCAUCACAGACCUGAGUGACCUGCCUGGGCCUUGCUACCUUGGGGCCCACUUCAGACAAAGGGCAAUUCAACUUUCUCCAACUCCUCAGCGUAGGAAAGGCAGGUAGGCACUGAAUCUGGUGUUCACAGAGCUGCGAAAAGACAUCAAAAUAAGGCCCCAUGGGCCCAGAAAGAACCCAGCACAGUGGGAGCCAAGAGCUCCCCGGGCCCUCCUGGGGCCCCAGCAGUGGCCCCAAGCACGUCCACUUAGGGCAGGGCGGCUGGACAAGAGCGGCUGGAGGGCAGCUCCAGAGGUCCCCAGGCUGGCCACAGCCUGGCACUUUCUCCUGCCAGGCCCUGCUUAGGGGGGUCCCCUGGGAGGGUGGGUGGGGU